rnacentral:misc_RNA from 1 species
GAUGAAGAACGUAGUGAAACGCGAUAAGUAAUGUGAAUUGCAGAAUCCAGUGAAUCAUCGAAUCUUUGAACGCACAUUGCGCCCGCCAGCAUUCUGGCGGGCAUGCCUGUUCGAGCGUCAUUUCAACCCUCGACCUCCCCUUGGGGAGGUCGGCGUUGGGGACCGGCAGCACACCGCCGGCCCUGAAAUGGAGUGGCGGCCCGUCCGCGGCGACCUCUGCGCAGUAAUACAGCUCGCACCGGGACCCCGACGCGGCCACGCCGUAAAACACCCAACUUCUGAACGUUGACCUCGAAUCAGGUAGGACUACCCGCUGAACUUAAGCAUAUCAAAAGCGGAGGA